rnacentral:lncRNA from 1 species
GCUACUAGGAUUCUUCAUGCUUGAGCCCUUUCUCAAACAUAAAAGUGAACAUCCAUCACAUUUCGGUAUUUUACCAAAAGAUGGGCAUUAUUCAGUAUCUACAUGCUCCUUACAAUACUACUACAGAUAUUGACCAACAUUUAAGUAUUUUACACUUGCCUGGUACAAAAGAUGGGCAUUAUUCAGUAUCUAGAUGCUCCUUACAAUACUACUACAGAUAUUGACCAACAUUUCAGUAUUUUACACUUGCCUAGUCCGAAAGAUGGGCAUUAUUCAGUAUCUAGAUGCUCCUUACAAUAAUACUAUAGCUAUUGAAAAUGGAGUUAUCAUAACACUGUUAUAUUUUAUUAGUUUUCCAAUAAAGCACAUAUAAAUCUUAAAGCACCCUGUAACUUUUCAAACUGCCUUGAUAGGAAAAACAAGAAACACUGUUAAUGUUCAACUAAAUAUUUGCUGUUUUGGCAAAC